rnacentral:rRNA from 1 species
GCAAGUCAAGGAGAACGUUUCCUUCGGGAGAUUAUUAAACUGGCGAACGGGUGAGUAACGCGUAGAUCAUCUGCCUUUAUCCCAGACAUAACAUCGAGAAAUCGGUGCUAAUAUCUGAUGUGACAUUUAUGUUAAAGCUACGGCGGGUAAAGAUGAGUCUGCGUCUGAUUAGCUAGUUGGUGAGGUAAAGGCUCACCAAGGCUGCGAUCAGUAGCUGGUCUGAGAGGACGAUC